AUGUACAGAUUUCUAUGGCAGCUUUCAUUCUAACUUUAGGAUCCAUGACUUGCACUCUAAAUUGACUCAUGGGCUUUCUUAAUGUAGUUGAAUUGAGAGCAUCAAAAUAUUAAUCAUCAAACAUGGAUCUACAAUGACAGUAUAUGAAAGCUGGACAUAAAAAUGAGUCAAAAAAUAUAGCAGAUCCAAGGAUCUACAAAAGCUGGACAUACGAAAGUUGGACAUGGAUCUACUUCUGGCUCUACUGAAGUAGUGAUCAAUCCUCUUAUUAAAAUGAACAAG